rnacentral:lncRNA from 1 species
CUGAUAGCAGGUUCUGUGUAACUUGAUGGGGUUCACUAAUUAUUGUCUGGAGUGCUGCAUUUUGGGGUGCCUGGCUGUGAAGUAGAACGGCAGUCCAAAGACCCAUGAUGACCAAAAUAAGAAGGGUUAUUUACAGACUAAAUGAGACAGUGUAUAUCUAACAUUGCUUUGUGGAUGCUAUCAAGUGCUGGCAAAUGUGUGGGAGAAUGAAUGGAAAACUUCAUCAAUUUCUAGGAUAGUAAAUUGGUGCUGCUAUUUUGGAGAGCAAUUUGUCAGCCUUCAGGGGAAACUGAAUAUGCACAUCCUCUAAGACCCAGCAGUUUCACUUCAAAGAAAAUUUCUUAUAUGCACAGAGACUUGUACAAGGAUAUUUAUCACAGCACUGUUUGUAAUAACAAAGGGCUGGAAAUAAACCAAAUGGCCAAUGAUAAGAAUUGAUAAAUGUGGUAAAUGCCUAAAAUAGAAUGUCACACAGCAGUUAAAAAAUCAUUUAUUCACUAAUUAAGCAAAGGACAAAAAGCCUCAACAGAAAAAAAAAGACAAAAGCCUUGAAUAGUCACUUUGCCAAAUGUUCAAUACACGUACAAAAACAUGGGCAAGUUCAUUGGUUGUCAAGGAAGUUCGAAUUAAAGCCACAUUUUGCAGGUACAACACUGGCACAAGUUUAAGUCUGAUGAUACCAAGUCUUGGAGAAGGUUGAAGCUACUGGAAAACCUGCCCUCUGCUGGUGGGAGUGCAAAUUGCUCCAAGCUCUUUGGACAAUAAUUUGGCAUCCUCUAGUGAAGUUGAAGAUGUGUGUGCUUGAGACUCAGCAAUUCCCCUUUGUGACAUCAGGAUGCUCCCGCACAUAUGCUUAAGAACAUUCAUGCCAGCUUUGUUUAUAUAACAAAAACGUGGAAAUAACCCAAAUGUCUGAGGAUGGGGAAUGGACAAAUAAUGGUUCAUAGUUAUGAAAAUGAAUACACAACAGCUACAAGCAUCUACUGGAAUGAAUCUCACAUGCAUUGUGUUGUAGAAGAAUAUGUAUAAUUCCAUUUAUGUAAAGUUUAAAAGCAUGCACAACUAAAUGAUAUGUUAUUUAUGAGUAUAUGACAUAUAUGAUAAAGGCAAAGAAUAAAUAAAGUAAGGAAAGGUAAGAC